GACGAACGCUGGCGGCGUGCUUAACACAUGCAAGUCGAGCGGAAAGGCCCUUCGGGGUACUCGAGCGGCGAACGGGUGAGUAACACGUGAGUAAUCUGCCCUUGGCUUUGGGAUAACUACCGGAAACGGUGGCUAAUACCGGAUACGACAACCGUCUGCAUGGGCUGGUUGUGGAAAGUUUUUUCGGCCAGGGAUGUGCUCGCGGCCUAUCAGCUUGUUGGUGGGGUAAUGGCCUACCAAGGCUUCGACGGGUAGCCGGCCUGAGAGGGUGACCGGCCACACUGGGACUGAGACACGGCCCAGACGCCUACGGGAGGCAGCAGUGGGGAAUAUUGGACAAUGGGCGGAAGCCUGAUCCAGCAACGCCGCGUGAGGGAUGACGGCCGUCGGGUUGUAAACCUCUUUCAGUACCGACGAAGCGCCGAUGAUGGUGGUGACGGUAGGUACAGAAGAAGCACCGGCCAACUACGUG
rnacentral:rRNA from 1 species